rnacentral:pre_miRNA from 1 species
AUUAUACUCCCUCCGUCCCAAAAUUCUUGUCUUAAAUUUGUCUAGAUACGGAUGUACCUAAUACUAAAAUGUGACUCGAUACAUCCGUAUUUAGACAAAUCUAAGACAAGAAUUUUGGGACGGAGGGAGUAAUAA